rnacentral:rRNA from 1 species
UACGUAGGGUCCAAGCGUUAAUCGGAAUUACUGGGCGUAAAGCGUGCGCAGGCGGUUUCUUAAGUCAGAUGUGAAAGCCCCGGGCUUAACCUGGGAACUGCGUUUGAAACUGGGAGACUUGAGUGUGGCAGAGGGGGGUGGAAUUCCGACGUGUAGCAGGUGAAAUGCGUAGAUAUGUGGAGGAACACCGAUGGCGAAGGCAGCCCCCUGGGUUAACACUGACGCUCAUGCACGAAAGCGUGGGGAGCAAACAGG